rnacentral:rRNA from 1 species
UACGUAGGGUGCAAGCGUUGUCCGGAAUUACUGGGCGUAAAGGGCGCGUAGGCGGCUCGUUUAGUCGGGUGUGAAAUCCCGGGGCUCAACCCCGGAACUGCAUUCGAUACUGGCGGGCUAGAGACCGGAAGAGGUGGGUGGAAUACCCAGUGUAGAGGUGAAAUUCGUAGAUAUUGGGUGGAACACCGGUGGCGAAGGCGGCUCACUGGUCCGGUUCUGACGCUGAGGCGCGAAAGCGUGGGGAGCAAACCGG